rnacentral:rRNA from 1 species
UACGGAGGGUGCGAGCGUUGUCCGGAAUCACUGGGCGUAAAGGCGCGUAGGCGGCCUGGUAAGUAGGGGGUGAAAUCCUGCGGCUUAACCGCAGGGCUGCCUUCUAAACUGUCAGGCUGGAGCACAGUAGAGGCAGGUGGAAUUCCCGGUGUAGCGGUGGAAUGCGUAGAGAUCGGGAAGAACAUCAGUGGCGAAGGCGGCCUGCUGGCUGUGCUGACGCUGAGGCGCGACAGCGUGGGAGCAAACAGG